rnacentral:rRNA from 1 species
UACAGAGGUCUCAAGCGUUGUUCGGAUUCAUUGGGCGUAAAGGGUGCGUAGGCGGCGCGGUAAGUCGGGUGUGAAAUCUCCGGGCUUAACUCGGAGCGGCCAAGUGAUACUGUCGUGCUAGAGUGCGGAAGGGGCAACUGGAAUUCUCGGUGUAGCGGUGAAAUGCGUAGAUAUCGAGAGGAACACCGGUGGCGAAGGCGGGUCUCUGGGCCGAUUCUGACACUGGAGGAGCGAAAGCGUGGGGAGCGAACAGG